UUGAAUAUGCUUGAUGGGUUGUCGCUGGCCUUUCGAGGCAUGUGCACGCCUGUCUUGACUCUAUUCAUCCACCUGUGCACCUAUUGUAGUCUCUGUAUUCGUGUGGGGCGUCGAGGGAAGCGGCUUGACUCGGUCAGCGAGACCGGACUUGAGGAUUGCCUUCUGGCUUUUCUCUGUGGCCGUGGAAAUCGCGCCUCUCCGAAACACGGAGGCUAUGUCCUUUUAUCAUAAACCAUGUAGUAUGUUGUCAGAAUGUAUUCAAUGGGCCUUCGUGCCUAUAAAAACCUUAUACAACUUUCAGCAACGGAUCUCUUGGCUCUCGCAUCGAUGAAGAACGCAGCGAAAUGCGAUAAGUAAUGUGAAUUGCAGAAUUCAGUGAAUCAUCGAAUCUUUGAACGCACCUUGCGCUCCUUGGUAUUCCGAGGAGCAUGCCUGUUUGAGUGUCAGUAAAUUCUCAACCCCUCCAGCUUUUGUGGCUUUAUGGGGCUUGGAUGUGGAGGUCUUUUGCGGGCCCUUUUUUCUGGGUCGGCUCCUCUGAAAUGCAUUAGCGGAACCGUUUGCGAUCCGUCACAGGUGUGAUAAUUAUCUACGCCAGUGGGUCGCUCUCUGUCUUGUUCAGCUACCAACCGUCCGCAAGGACAAUCUCAAUUACUGAACGUU
rnacentral:sRNA from 1 species